CAGAAGUUGUGGAGAGCUGAGUGAGCAGGAGGAAGACUAGGGCAGUCCAAGGGAGCUGGCUGGAAAGAAAAGGUUUGGUUGUGCACUGCUUGGGGAGGAGGAAACCUUGGUAUCUCGUUUCAGCUGUUCCAAGUGCAGAGGAUCUCAACCUGUUACCUGCUCACACAUCAAUUUGUAAUCAUAUAGUACCACUGUUACUAAAUUCA